rnacentral:rRNA from 1 species
UGAGUAACCUGCCCUUAACUCUGGGAUAAGCCUGGGAAACUGGGUCUAAUACCGGAUAUGACUCCUCAUCGCAUGGUGGGGGGUGGAAAGCUUUUUGUGGUUUUGGAUGGACUCGCGGCCUAUCAGCUUGUUGGUGAGGUAAUGGCUCACCAAGGCGACGACGGGUAGCCGGCCUGAGAGGGUGACCCGGCCACACUGGGACUGAGACACGGCCCAGACCUCCUACGGGAGCAG